GCAGUCGAACGGUAACAGGAAUUAGCUUGCUAAUUUGCUGACGAGUGGCGCACGGGUGCGUAACGCGUAUACAAUCUACCUUUUGCUGAGGGAUAGCCCAGAGAAAUUUGGAUUAAUACCUCAUGGUAUUAUUGAUAGGCAUCUAUUAAUAAUUAAAGGUUACGGCAAAAGAUGAGUAUGCGUCCCAUUAGCUAGUUGGUGAAGUAACGGUUCACCAAGGCAACGAUGGGUAGGGGUCCUGAGAGGGAGAUCCCCCACACUGGUACUGAGACACGGACCAGACUCCUACGGGAGGCAGCAGUGAGGAAUAUUGGACAAUGGGCGAGAGCCUGAUCCAGCCAUGCCGCGUGCAGGAAGACUGCCCUAUGGGUUGUAAACUGCUUUUAUACAGGAAGAGUAAGCCUUACGAGUAAGGUGAUGACGGUACUGUAAGAAUAAGGACCGGCUAACUCCGUGCCAGCAGCCGCGGCAAUACGGAGGGUCCGAGCGUUAUCCGGAAUUAUUGGGUUUAAAGGGUCCGUAGGCGGAUGAUUAAGUCAGGGGUGAAAGUUUGCAGCUCAACUGUAAAAUUGCCUUUGAUACUGGUCAUCUUGAGUUGUAUUGAAGUA
rnacentral:rRNA from 1 species